UGAUGAUCACACUGGCAGCACAUCACUAAAAUUGGAAUGAUAAGAGAAAAUUUGCAGGGCCCCUCCCCACAGGUGACAUAUAAAUUCAUGAAGCGUUCCAUAUUAAA